ensembl:lncRNA
CUGAGACAUGUUUCCCCAAUUUCACGUGCUGCUUCCUGUCAGGCAGGAAGUCAGUGAUCCACUUGCAGGUGGAGUCGGGCACGUGCAGCACGGAGAGCUUGUCCUGCAGAAGAGACGGCAAACUAACGGCAACGUGCUGAUAUUAGAGACAAAGCAAACACAUCGCAGGCUGUAAAUUCACGGCGAUGAUGAUUCAGCAGGUUGGGUCGUAACUGUCACAACGCCACAAUACUUUCCUGCGGGCCUCAAUCAACGUAUUCCCGAAAGACCAGCAGCAACAUCAAGCCCGGACACACGUGGUGAAGAUGAAGCAAGGAUGGAGGGAAAGCGAGGUGGGGAUGAGGAGUAGUUUAGCCCUGCUCCGGAGUUUACAUACCUGCACGUAGGGUUACUCUCCUGUCUAACAACACUAGCUACACCUGGCUGGGCCACCUACUGUAAGUUUGGUUAGGGCGCCUUGUUAGUGUGCCAGUUAGUGGUUUUCGUUGGGAGAUAGGACAGGUAAGUGGGUGGG